AACCGUAUAGGGGAGCCGGAGGGAAACCGAGUCUUAAUUGGGCGUUAAGUUGCAGGGUAUAGACCCGAAACCCGGUGAUCUAGCCAUGGGCAGGUUGAAGGUUGGGUAACACUAACUGGAGGACCGAACCGACUAAUGUUGAAAAAUUAGCGGAUGACCUGUGGCUGGGGGUGAAAGGCCAAUCAAACCGGGAGAUAGCUGGUUCUCCCCGAAAGCUAUUUAGGUAGCGCCUCGUGAAUUCAUCUCCGGGGGUAGAGCACUGUUUCGGCUAGGGGGCCAUCCCGGCUUACCAACCCGAUGCAAACUGCGAAUACCGGAGAAUGUUAUCACGGGAGACACACGGCGGGUGCUAACGUCCGUCGUGAAGAGGGAAACAACCCAGACCGCCAGCUAAGGUCCCAAAGUCAUGGUUAAGUGGGAAACGAUGUGGGAAGGCCCAGACAGCCAGGAUGUUGGCUUAGAAGCAGCCAUCAUUUAAAGAAAGCGUAAUAGCUCACUGGUCGAGUCGGCCUGCGCGGAAGAUGUAACGGGGCUAAACCAUGCACCGAAGCUGCGGCAGCGAACGUAUCACCCAAGACAACUUUACGGAGUUGACGAUUGACGGAGCGAAGCGACGUCAAAGCGUUCAUUAAAGUCGAGUUGGCUUAGGGAUACGUUCGUUGGGUAGGGGAGCGUUCUGUAAGCCUGUGAAGGUGUGUCGUGAGGCAUGCUGGAGGUAUCAGAAGUGCGAAUGCUGACAUAAGUAACGAUAAAGCGGGUGAAAAGCCCGCUCGCCGGAAGACCAAGGGUUCCUGUCCAACGUUAAUCGGGGCAGGGUGAGUCGACCCCUAAGGCGAGGCCGAAAGGCGUAGUCGAUGGGAAACGGGUUAAUAUUCCCGUACUUGGUGUUACUGCGAAGGGGGGACGGAGAAGGCUAUGUUGGCCGGGCGACGGUUGUCCCGGUUUAAGCGUGUAGGUGUGUGUUCCAGGUAAAUCCGGUUCACUUUAACACUGAGGCGUGACGACGAGGCACUACGGUGCUGAAGCAACAAAUGCCCUGCUUCCAGGAAAAGCCUCUAAGCAUCAGGUAACACGAAAUCGUACCCCAAACCGACACAGGUGGUCAGGUAGAGAAUACCAAGGCGCUUGAGAGAACUCGGGUGAAGGAACUAGGCAAAAUGGUGCCGUAACUUCGGGAGAAGGCACGCUGACACGUAGGUGAAGUGAUUUACUCAUGGAGCUGAAGUCAGUCGAAGAUACCAGCUGGCUGCAACUGUUUAUUAAAAACACAGCACUGUGCAAACACGAAAGUGGACGUAUACGGUGUGACGCCUGCCCGGUGCCGGAAGGUUAAUUGAUGGGGUCAGCGUAAGCGAAGCUCCUGAUCGAAGCCCCGGUAAACGGCGGCCGUAACUAUAACGGUCCUAAGGUAGCGAAAUUCCUUGUCGGGUAAGUUCCGACCUGCACGAAUGGCGUAAUGAUGGCCAGGCUGUCUCCACCCGAGACUCAGUGAAAUUGAACUCGCUGUGAAGAUGCAGUGUACCCGCGGCAAGACGGAAAGACCCCGUGAACCUUUACUAUAGCUUGACACUGAACAUUGAGCCUUGAUGUGUAGGAUAGGUGGGAGGCUUUGAAGUGUGGACGCCAGUCUGCAUGGAGCCGACCUUGAAAUACCACCCUUUAAUGUUUGAUGUUCUAACGUGGACCCGUAAUCCGGGUUGCGGACAGUGUCUGGUGGGUAGUUUGACUGGGGCGGUCUCCUCCUAAAGAGUAACGGAGGAGCACGAAGGUUGGCUAAUCCUGGUCGGACAUCAGGAGGUUAGUGCAAUGGCAUAAGCCAGCUUGACUGCGAGCGUGACGGCGCGAGCAGGUGCGAAAGCAGGUCAUAGUGAUCCGGUGGUUCUGAAUGGAAGGGCCAUCGCUCAACGGAUAAAAGGUACUCCGGGGAUAACAGGCUGAUACCGCCCAAGAGUUCAUAUCGACGGCGGUGUUUGGCACCUCGAUGUCGGCUCAUCACAUCCUGGGGCUGAAGUAGGUCCCAAGGGUAUGGCUGUUCGCCAUUUAAAGUGGUACGCGAGCUGGGUUUAGAACGUCGUGAGACAGUUCGGUCCCUAUCUGCCGUGGGCGCUGGAGAACUGAGGGGGGCUGCUCCUAGUACGAGAGGACCGGAGUGGACGCAUCACUGGUGUUCGGGUUGUCAUGCCAAUGGCACUGCCCGGUAGCUAAAUGCGGAAGAGAUAAGUGCUGAAAGCAUCUAAGCACGAAACUUGCCCCGAGAUGAGUUCUCCCUGAGACUUUAGGUCUCCUGAAGGAACGUUGAAGACGACGACGUUGAUAGGCCGGGUGUGUAAGCGCAGCGAUGCGUUGAGCUAACCGGUACUAAUGAACCGUGAGGCUUAACCUUACAACGCCGAAG
rnacentral:rRNA from 1 species